rnacentral:piRNA from 1 species
UGAGCCUUGAAAGUCAGUUUUGAAUUGAAGUU